CUCGUUGAUGAUCGGUGCUUGCACCGAGAUUCAACAUGGAACGAGUGGCGGACGGGUGAGUAACACGUGGGUAACCUGCCCUUAAGUGGGGGAUAACAUUUGGAAACAGAUGCUAAUACCGCAUAGAUCCAAGAACCGCAUGGUUCUUGGCUGAAAGAUGGCGUAAGCUAUCGCUUUUGGAUGGACCCGCGGCGUAUUAGCUAGUUGGUGAGGUAAUGGCUCACCAAGGCGAUGAUACGUAGCCGAACUGAGAGGUUGAUCGGCCACAUUGGGACUGAGACACGGCCCAAACUCCUACGGGAGGCAGCAGUAGGGAAUCUUCCACAAUGGACGCAAGUCUGAUGGAGCAACGCCGCGUGAGUGAAGAAGGCUUUCGGGUCGUAAAACUCUGUUGUUGGAGAAGAAUGGUCGGCAGAGUAACUGUUGUCGGCGUGACGGUAUCCAACCAGAAAGCCACGGCUAACUACGUGCCAGCAGCCGCGGUAAUACGUAGGUGGCAAGCGUUAUCCGGAUUUAUUGGGCGUAAAGCGAGCGCAGGCGGUUUUUUAAGUCUGAUGUGAAAGCCCUCGGCUUAACCGAGGAAGCGCAUCGGAAACUGGGAAACUUGAGUGCAGAAGAGGACAGUGGAACUCCAUGUGUAGCGGUGAAAUGCGUAGAUAUAUGGAAGAACACCAGUGGCGAAGGCGGCUGUCUGGUCUGUAACUGACGCU
rnacentral:rRNA from 1 species